GCAGGCUUAACACAUGCAAGUCGAACCGUAGCAGGAGAAAGCUUGCUUUCUUGCUGACGAGUGGCGGACGGGUGAGUAAUGCUUGGGAAUCUGGCUUAUGGAGGGGGAUAACUACUGGAAACGGUAGCUAAUACCGCGUAAUAUCGAGAGAUUAAAGACUGGGACCUACGGGCCAGUUGCCAUAAGAUGAGCCCAAGUGGGAUUAGGUAGUUGGUGGGGUAAAGGCCUACCAAGCCCGCGAUCUCUAGCUGGUCUGAGAGGAUGACCAGCCACACUGGAACUGAGACACGGUCCAGACUCCUACGGGAGGCAGCAGUGGGGAAUAUUGCACAAUGGGGGGAACCCUGAUGCAGCCAUGCCGCGUGAAUGAAGAAGGCCUUCGGGUUGUAAAGUUCUUUCGGUGGUGAGGAAGGUAUCAACUUUAAUAGAGUUGGUAA
rnacentral:rRNA from 1 species